rnacentral:rRNA from 1 species
UGAGUAACACGUAUGCAACCUGCCUGCCACAGCCGGAUAAUCGGGAGAAAUUCCGUCUAAUACGGCAUAAUGCAUCGACGGGACAUCCUGUUGGUGCCAAAGGUUAAUUCCGGUGGCGGAUGGGCAUGCGUCGCAUUAGUUAGUUGGCGGUGUAACGGCCCACCAAGGCGACGAUGCGUAGGGGUUCUGAGAGGAAGGUCCCCCACACUGGUACUGAGACACGGACCAGACUCCUACGGGAGGCAGCAG